rnacentral:rRNA from 1 species
GAUGAACGCUAGCUACAGGCUUAACACAUGCAAGUCGCGGGGCAGCAUGGGGGUUGCUUGCAACCCCUGAUGGCGACCGGCGCACGGGUGAGUAACGCGUAUCCAACCUGCCCUUCACCACGGGAUAACCCGGCGAAAGUCGGACUAAUACCGUAUGUUGUCCAUUGACGGCAUCCGAUUUGGACGAAAGGCUUAGCGGUGAGGGAUGGGGAUGCGUCCGAUUAGCUUGACGGCGGGGUAACGGCCCACCGUGGCAACGAUCGGUAGGGGUUCUGAGAGGAAGGUCCCCCACACUGGAACUGAGACACGGUCCAGACUCCUACGGGAGGCAGCAGUGAGGAAUAUUGGUCAAUGGGCGGAAGCCUGAACCAGCCAAGUAGCGUGCAGGAUGACGGCCCUAUGGGUUGUAAACUGCUUUUAUGCGGGGAUAAAGGAGCCCACGU